rnacentral:rRNA from 1 species
GAGUUUGAUCCUGGCUCAGGACGAACGCUGGCGGCGUGCUUAACACAUGCAAGUGGAGCGACGAAGCUGACUUCGGUCAGUGGCAGAGCCGCGAACGGGUGAGUAACACGUGGGUAACGAGCCCCAAUGACUGGGAUAACCCGGGGAAACCCGGGCUAAUACCGGAUGUGGUCGCCUCACAUCAGUGAGACGACCAAAGGUAGCUUCGGCUUCCGCAUUGGGAUCGGCCCGCGGCGCAUUAGCUUGUUGGUGGGGUAAUGGCCUACCAAGGCGACGAUGCGUAGCUGGUCUGAGAGGACGAUCAGCCACACUGGGACUGAGACACGGCCCAGACUCCUACGGGAGGCAGCAGUGGGGAAUCUUGCGCAAUGCGCGAAAGCGUGACGCAGCAACGCCGCGUGUUGGAAGAAGGCCUUCCGCCUUGUAAACCCCUUUCAGGAGGGACGAAGUGCCGGCGGUGAAUAGCCGUUCGGCAUGACGGUACCUCCACAAGAAGCCCCGGCUAACUACGUGCCAGCAGCCGCGGUAAUACGUAGGGGGCAAGCGUUGUCCGGAAUCAUUGGGCGUAAAGAGCGCGUAGCGGUCCGGUAAGUCGGUUGUGAAACUGGGGGCUCAACCCUCAGAGGCCGACCGAUACUGCCGGACUA